UCAAAUUCAGCCAGAGGUAGCCGAAAGAU
rnacentral:sRNA from 1 species